CUUCAAUGAUGAUCAGGUUGUCCCUGAUUGUGAGUAGGAGGUUUUCUUACGUGAAACAGCUGCAAUGAUCAUCACAGAGCAGAGCCCUAAGAGGUUACUUGAAGUAAGAGGACGUUAUUAUGAGCUGUUGACUCAUUGUAUACCACCUGAUAUUAUUUUUAAAAGGAUAUUGAAUGAGCUGGUUGCUAACUGUGAUGGUACAUUGAAAGCUGAAGUGACUCAAUUAGCAGCUCAGUAUCAAGCUCAGUCACAA
rnacentral:misc_RNA from 1 species